rnacentral:lncRNA from 1 species
CCUGAGGACAGCAGGGAAACCUGGACCCCACAGUCACCCACCCCUGGGCCCCUGCGCCUCUCUCCAGGGCCUGCAUGGUUUCUUUGGAUGCAAACUUUCGAAGUUUCUGCCUAAUAAGCCCUUUGUGCCUGAUGUCUCCUGAAAACUUGCUCCCCGACGGAUGCGUCUCAGUAGUCUGCCAGGCGUAACAGGCAGUGUGCUGACUGGGUCAGACGUGCGGCUCGUGAGGGAAAGGGCCGCUGAGGAAACUCCCCGCUGACAGAUUUAGCGCAGCUCUGGCUGUGUCUGGAGCUCCACUCUUUGUCGUCGCCUUUAGCCAUUGAUCUCCAGGCUUCCAGCGCAGCUCGGGACUCCACAGUGAGCUCCAGGCCUCGGAUUGAAUCUCGCGGAUCUCCAGCGCACAGAAGCCCCUUUGUACUCUUCCACCCCUGACUCUGCAGGCGGCCAUCGUACCAUUCGACUAGUGAUGGCUGGCUCUGUCACAUCAACGCACUGGGGACACCAAGCUCCCGACACAUGAAACUCGGGGACACACUGAAACCGUCUCCAUAACAGCCAACCAAGGAGGCAGGGAGCCAGGAGAGCUUGAAGUCCUCACUGCCAAGGACAAUGCAGACUAAGAAGUGUCCAGGGGACUCACAGAAUGGCUCAGGGGUCCAUUCUCUGACCACCCCGCCCAUCGACAAUGGCUAAACAUGCCUGAAAACCAGGUACGUGCAGCUGUGCAGAUCUAUGGACACUAGAGGGAACGAGAGGUCAGCCUAAGCAUGUCCCAUGACCACCAUCAACUCUGCCCAGGCAGCUCAGCCGGCAAUGUUCUGCAGGUAACAGACCAAUCAUACAUCUGCCAAUCCUCC